rnacentral:lncRNA from 1 species
GCCAGAAGCCGCACAGUACCAUAUGUAGUAAAUAAGGUGGAUGAGGACGCCCCACUGUGUUUUUACACAAUGCCUUUCUUCUGGACAGCACUUGGCAGCAGCAUUCACUGUAUUUUUUUUAUCAUACCUUAUAAAGAUACUCCAACCUGCUUCAGAAAAUGGCAAGAAUGAUGGGUGUCUGUAGGGUCCCGACAGCCCAAGGCAUUGUGGUGGGCAAGGGGGCAAGAACUAAGAGACAGAAGAGGGAGGCUCGCAUCAGAGAGGUGACUGACAAGGGGGGAAACAAGCCACGGGCAUAACUAAAACUAACACACGAGAUGCCCUACAGCCAGCACACGCUCAGCAAGUGCACGUAGCAUCUGCUGAGGCGCAGUGCUAGGGUAGCUCAGGGCAAGGCAAAGAAAGGCAAGAGGCAGACUUCAAGGAGGCUGGUUCUCUGCUGUGGGCCACAAGUGUCCUGCCGUUCAGACCCAGCCAAGGACAAGUUCCACACUUGGCCCAUUUCCGGUGGCUCCUGCAGCCCUCGGCAUGUGAGCAGUGGGAUAGUUCAUGUUAAUUCUGUGACGGUGCAGAGAAAAUGUUUUUUGAAUGGUCCUGUAUGUAGACAUUUUGGUAAGAAUUUUUAAAAAACAUGCAACCCUACUCCCAAACCAAAUAAAGCCCUGGAAAUUUAGACCAUAGUCUUUAACAUUACAAGAAAUCAUAGAAGUAAGCUCAUGUGGAGGGGCUUUUUUAGAGGAAAGCAUUUAGUUCACAUAACCUUUGCUUCAAAAACAAGAGAAGUAACUGGAUAUGUAAAACAUUUAAGAGAGUGAGAGAGGAGAAGAGAGAAGAGGAGGAGAGAGGCAGAUCAGAGGGGGUUACACCCGGAGACCAGAUUGCUAGCUCCAACCCUGCAACCCCCGAGUGCUCAUAAACACACAGUGUGGUCUAGGCCGCUCCUGUUUUCAUAAAUGAAAGACCCACACCUCAGAGAGACUGAGCCACUUGUCUGUGGUCACACAGCUGGGAAUGGGUCAGGGCUGAAUCAUCUUCUGCCAUAAUAGUCCUUCUUAUAUUUCUCUCUCUAUAGUAC